GAUGAACGCUGGCAGCGUGCCUAAUACAUGCAAGUCGAGCGAACGGACGAGAAGCUUGCUUUUCCGAUGUUAGCGGCGGACGGGUGAGUAACACGUGGAUAACCUACCUAUAAGACUGGGAUAACUUCGGGAAACCGGAGCUAAUACCGGAUAAUAUUUUGAACCGCAUGGUUCAAAAGUGAAAGACGGUCUUGCUGUCACUUAUAGAUGGAUCCGCGCUGCAUUAGCUAGUUGGUAAGGUAACGGCUUACCAAGGCAACGACGCAUAGCCGACCUGAGAGGGUGAUCGGCCACACUGGAACUGAGACACGGUCCAGACUCCUACGGGAGGCAGCAGUAGGGAAUCUUCCGCAAUGGGCGAAAGCCUGACGGAGCAACGCCGCGUGAGUGAUGAAGGUCUUCGGAUCGUAAAACUCUGUUAUUAGGGAAGAACAUAUGUGUAAGUAACUGUGCACAUCUUGACGGUACCUAAUCAGAAAGCCACGGCUAACUACGUG
rnacentral:rRNA from 1 species